UACGGAGGGUGCGAGCGUUGUCCGGAAUCAUUGGGCGUAAAGGGCGCGUAGGUGGCCCGGUCAGUCUUUGGUGAAAGCCCUGGGCUCAACCCAGGAAGUGCACUCGAAACUGGCAGGCUAGAGUACUGGAGAGGUUGGUGGAAUUCUCGGUGUAGAGGUGAAAUUCGUAGAUAUCGAGAGGAACACCGGUGGCGAAGGCGGCCAACUGGACAGAUACUGACGCUGAGACUCGAAAGCGUGGGAGCAAACAGG
rnacentral:rRNA from 1 species